AUUGAACGCUGGCGGCAGGCCUAACACAUGCAAGUCGAACGAGUGGCGGACGGGUGAGUAAUGUCUGGGAAACUGCCCGAUGGAGGGGGAUAACUACUGGAAACGGUAGCUAAUACCGCAUACCAUCGGAUGUGCCCCGAUGGGAUUAGCUAGUAGGUGGGGUAACGGCUCACCUAGGCGACGAUCCCUAGCUGGUCUGAGAGGAUGACCAGCCACACUGGAACGGAGCUAAGAUCCAGACGCACACGUGAGGCAGCAGUGGGGAAGAUAGCACUAGGGGCGCAGGGCUGAUGCAGCCAUGCCGAGUGGAGGAAGAAGGCUUUCGGGUUGUAAAGUACUUUCAGCGAGGAGGCGUUACUCGAAGAAGAAGCACCGGCUAACUCCGUGCCAGCAGCCGCGGUAAUAC
rnacentral:rRNA from 1 species